rnacentral:ncRNA from 1 species
AAAAAAUUUAAUUAAUGUUUGGAAAUUUACUUUAUAAUUAAUAAUAUAAAUAAAUUUUUAUAAAAUAAAAAAAUUUAAAUAAUUUUUAAAAUAAAGUAAUUAAUAUUUAUAUUGAGAGUGAUUAAGAAAUUGAAUCUAGUAAUUUAUAUUAAAAUAAAGAUAAAUUUUAGUGCCAGCAAUAGCGGUUAAACUAAAUGUUAUGAGUAAAUUUAAUUAAUUAGAGGUAAGGAAGGUUUAGAAUUUAUAUUUAUGAUAUUAAUAAUUUUUUAUAUGGUGAAAUAUGUAAUAAAUUUAAAGUAUUAAAAAUAUAAAAUAAUUUUGAUAUAAUGAAAUUAAAAAAAAACUAGGAUUAGAGACCCUAUUAUUAUAAAAUAAAUAAGGAUAAUUGGAAAAUAAAUGUGAAUCAUUAAAAUUUAAAUAAUUUGGCGGUAUUUUAAAAAGUUAGAGGAAUUUGUCUUAUAAAUGAUAAUCCACGAUAAGAGGGUCUUAAUAGAAAUUUUAUAUAUUGUUGUUUAAAAAUUAUUUUAGGAGAAUUAUAAUUGUUAAAUUUAAUAAUAAAUUUGAAUUCAAAUCAAAAUGUAGAAUUAUUAAGUAAAGAUGAGUUACAUUUUAGUUUAUAAAAGAAUAUUUAAAAAAUUUUAAGUAUUUUGAAUAUAAAGGAUUUAAUAGUAAAUUUAAUAAAUUUAUUAGAUUGAAAGUUAAAUAAAAUAUGUACAAAUUGCCCGUCAUUUUCAUAAAUAAAUAGUUGAAAGAAGUCGUAACAAAGUAAAUGUACAGGAAUGUGUAUUUAGUU